UGAUUUUGGCGUAUGAAUGUAUCACUUCCUUUAGAGAGCGUAUAGGGAAAGUAGUCAAUGAGCAAGAAAUUUCACUUUUGCGAUGGGGUAGAAACCUUAAACGUUCAAGCUUAACUACUGGCAUGUCUAACGAGAUUAGAGAUCAUGGUGAGGUAAGAUUUAAGGCUUACCUAUGAAUCAUUUGAUGUCUGAGUUAUUUAUUAUUGAUGGCUUAGUUAUG
rnacentral:lncRNA from 1 species